rnacentral:snRNA from 1 species
AUUAUACAUAAAAGAGUAGCAUGGCUCCUGCACAAGGACGACACAAAUUUGUGAAGCAGUCCAUAUUUUU